AACAUAUAUUUUUUUUGUACUCUCAUACUAAUCAUCAUAAAUCAUAAUCUCAUACGAAUUUUUUCUUCGGAGGAGACAUUCGAAUCAAAAAACGCCAGAGCUAUUGAGUCUUCGGCAAGGUACAAUGUCUACUAUUUUUCAUUUGAACAUUUGGUUCCUUUAGUUAAGAUUCCUAACCAUACGAAUUUUUUCUUCGGAGGAGACAUUUGAACCAAAAAACGCCAGAGCUAUUGAGUCUUCGGCAAGGUACAAUGUCUACUAUUUUUCAUUUGAACAUUUGGUUCCUUUAGUUAAGAUUCCUAACCAUACGAAUUUUUUCUUCGGAGGAGACAUUUGAACCAAAAAACGCCAGAGCUAUUGAGUCUUCGGCAAGGUACAAUGUCUACUAUUUUGCAUUUGAACAUUUGGUUCCUUUAGUUAAGAUUGCUAGCCAUAUUGAGUCUUCGGCAAGGUACAAUGUCUACUAUUUUUCAUUUGAACAUUUGGUUCCUUUAGUUAAGAUUCCUAACCAUACGAAUUUUUUUUUCGGAGGAGACAUUUGAACCAAAAAACGCCAGAGCUAUUGAGUCUUUGGCAAGGUACAAUGUCUACUAUUUUUCAUUUGAACAUUUGGUUCCUUUAGUUAAGAUUCCUAACCAUACGAAUUUUUUCUUCGGAGGAGACAUUCGAAUCAAAAAACGCCAGAGCUAUUGAGUCUUCGGCAAGGUACAAUGUCUACUAUUUUUCAUUUGAACAUUUGGUUCCUUUAGUUAAGAUUCCUAACCAUACGAAUUUUUUCUUCGGAGGAGACAUUCGAAUCAAAAAACGCCAGAGCUAUUGAGUCUUCGGCAAGGUACAAUGUCUACUAUUUUUCAUUUGAACAUUUGGUUCCUUUAGUUAAGAUUCCUAACCAUACGAAUUUUUUCUUCGGAGGAGACAUUCGAAUCAAAAAACGCCAGAGCUAUUGAGUCUUCGGCAAGGUACAAUGUCUACUAUUUUUCAUUUGAACAUUUGGUUCCUUUAGUUAAGAUUCCUAACCAUACGAAUUUUUUCUUCGGAGGAGACAUUCGAACCAAAAAAGGCCAGAGCUAUUGAGCCUUCGGCAAGGUACAAUAAGUGAUUGCUCAUUUUUUCAAUAGUAUAGCCGAGGUUUCCGCGUCAGUACUUGCAUAUUUUAAACAAUUUUAGACAUGGAGUAUUUUCGGAAGUAUACUAAAUUAGAGUAAUGUCUACUAUUUUCCAUUUGAACAUUUGGUUCGUUUGACUUAAGAUUGCUAAUCAUACGAAUUUUUUCUUCGGAGGAGACAUUCGAACCAAAAAAGGCCAGAGCUAUUGAGCCUUCGGCAAGGUACAAUAAGUGAUUGCUCAUUUUUUCAAUAGUAUAGCCGAGGUUUCCGCGUCAGUACUUGCAUAUUUUAAAAAAUUUUAGACAUGGAGUAUUUUCGGAAGUAUACUAAAUUAGAGUAAUGUCUACUAUUUUCCAUUUGAACAUUUGGUUCGUUUGACUUAAGAUUGCUAAUCAUACGAAUUUUUUCUUCGGAGGAGACAUUCGAACCAAAAAAGGCCAGAGCUAUUGAGCCUUCGGCAAGGUACAAUAAAUGAUUGCUCAUUUUUUCAAUGGUAUAGCCGAAGUUUCCGCGUCAGUACUUGCAUAUUUUAAACAAUUUUAGACAUGGAGUAUUUUCGGAAGUAUACUAAAUUAGAGUAAUGUCUACUAUUUUCCAUUUGAACAUUUGGUUCGUUUGACUUAAGAUUGCUAAUCAUACGAAUUUUUUCUUCGGAGGAGACACUCGAACCAAAAAAGGCCAGAGCUAUUGAGCCUUCGGCAAGGUACAAUAAAUGAUUGCUCAUUUUUUCAAUAGUAUAGCCGAGGUUUCCGCGUCAGUACUUGCAUAUUUUAAAAAAUUUUAGACAUGGAGUAUUUUCGGAAGUAUACUAAAUUAGAGUAGAGUUUGACUUAAGAUUGCUAAUCAUACGAAUUUUUUCUUCGGAGGAGACAUUCGAACCAAAAAAGGCCAGAGCUAUUGAGCCUUCGGCAAGGUACAAUAA